GCCAGGCGUGGUGGCGCAUGCCUGUAAUCCCAGCUACUCAGGAGGCUGAGGUGGGAGAAUCGCUUGAGCCCGGGAGGCAGAGGUUGCAGUGAGCUGAGAUCGUACCACUGCACUCCAGCCUGGGCAACAGAGUGAGACCCUGUCUCAA
rnacentral:SRP_RNA from 1 species